rnacentral:rRNA from 1 species
UACAGAGGUGGCAAGCGUUGUUCGGAAUUACUGGGCGUAAAGGGCGCGUAGGCGGCCUUCUAAGUCAGACGUGAAAUCCCUCGGCUCAACCGGGGAACUGCGUCUGAUACUGGGUGGCUUGAAUUCGGGAGAGGGAUGCGGAAUUCCAGGUGUAGCGGUGAAAUGCGUAGAUAUCUGGAGGAACACCGGUGGCGAAGGCGGCAUCCUGGACCGAGAUUGACGCUGAGGCGCGAAAGCCAGGGGAGCAAACGGG